UGGGGAAUAUUGGACAAUGGGCGAAAGCCUGAUCCAGCAAUGCCGCGUGAGUGAUGAAGGCCUUAGGGUUGUAAAGCUCUUUUACCAGGGAUGAUAAUGACAGUACCUGGAGAAUAAGCUCCGGCUAACUCCGUGCCAGCAGCCGCGGUAAUACGGAGGGAGCUAGCGUUGUUCGGAAUUACUGGGCGUAAAGCGUACGUAGGCGGUGACUCAAGUCAGAGGUGAAAGCCUGGAGCUCAACUCCAGAACUGCCUUUGAAACUAGGUCGCUAGAAUCACGGAGAGGUGAGUGGAAUUCCGAGUGUAGAGGUGAAAUUCGUAGAUAUUCGGAAGAACACCAGUGGCGAAGGCGGCUGACUGGACAUGUAUUGACGCUGAGGUGCGAAAGCGUGGGGAGCAAACAGGAUUAGAUACCCCCGUAGUCCCUGAGCGGGCUGGCAAGGC
rnacentral:rRNA from 1 species